AAUUUUAAUUUGAAGACCUUCCCCUCAAUCAUCGGUCCUCUCCUCUCUCCGUCGCCGCUGCUCCGACUUGCGAGACAGCGAACACCACCCUCUCCUUCCUCUUCUCCCUUCACUGUCGUUCCACCCUUACCGGUGGAGACUGGCGCCGCUCUCUCUUCUUGCCAUCUCCACCAGAGAACGGGACCAGCACAAUACGAUCCUACUGUUUCCCUCCCCCGUGCUGGCAAAACCCUUUCUUCUCCUCGGCGAAGUCGAUAACAACAACUUAUCGCUAUUGUGUUUCACCUCCCGACCAGCGAGCCUUAAUAAAGCGAAAUGCCGACGAGAACCUUAAGACAACUGCGGUCAAUAACGACAACAACCAUGGUCGGAAAGCUCUAUGUAAAAUACUACUUAUUUGACUAGUGUUAAAAUGCUCCAAUCCUGGAAAAGAAAAGGUAAAGAUUAAGAUAUUUUGAUAAACUUGCCAGUAAGAAAGGAGCUGUCUAGUCCAAUUAAUCCAAGAAGUUGAUGCCAAGUAUACCAGAGAACUUUCAAGUUACAAAUUUGGUGGUGAAUUUUACUAAACAUAUAUAGUACAAGGAACAUGCAAUAUCUUGCAUUAGUAAAAUUGAUAACAUAAAGUAACUAUUCCAUUCAUUUCAAUUUGUUAAACUACUUUUAUUUUUAGUCCAUUUUAAGAAGAAUGACUCUUUCCUUUUCUACUAACUCCUUGAUUCCGACUUUUCGGAAUACAUUGGAUAAACUAAGAAACAGAAUUGCAGGCUCUUACACUUGAAAAACACUUUCUGACUAUAAAAUUUCUCAAAAAGAAGAAAGGCAAAAUAUACUUUAGCAUAUUCUCGAGCUCUCUCUGUUUUGGCUCACUGGUUUGGAUUCUCACAUCAAGUUUAUCUACUAAUUAUCUGCUUUAUAGUGCCUGGGUCAGUCUUCUCCACUAGUUUGAUUUCAAUUCUUGCAUUAGUAUUUUACUUAAGCUUCUGUAGAUAAUUUACAAUACUCAAUAUAUGUGUUUUUUAUUCUGUUGUUUUUUUUAUUAAAUAUGUACAUGUUAUCAUCUUCUCUGUUUGUUUAUUGACGUGAGAAUUACUUGGCCGUUGCAUAUUUUUGUGUUAUUGGUAUGUUGUUUGUAUUUCCUAGCAGGGCUUGAACAUAAAGGUUCAGGGCAUGAAGAGUUCGCCAGGGACCACUGUUUUCUAGACAUGAUUAUUCCUUUUCUUUUAAGGAUUGUGUUAGCUUUUUGUACCUUAGAAAGCAUGCCUAUGAAUUGUUGUCUGAUCAUAUGAAGAGGCCUACUGUUUUGAUUUGUCAUGUGGCUUAUGUUAGAUGUUUACAAAAACUAGUUGCCGAAUUUAAGUGUUUCUCUACUGCCAUUAUGCUUAUUAAUCAAUGUUGCAUUUUCAUUUAUGUAUAGACAUGUGGAUAUCAAUGAAUUGAGUUGCAAACUUGAAGCCGUUUUCUCGUCUUUAUACAAGCUAUUAGACAAUAGGUUAGUAGAGUUAAAGAGCAUGUUAACCAAUAUGUGAUUACUUCCUUUUUUAGGUUACUAUAGAGUUCUCCCACUCUGCUGUUUUUGAUAUUUCUGAAUCUCACAAUCUUUAUUGACUUUGAUGGCUGAAAUACUAAAUAAAAUAAAUCACAACUAAGGAAUUUCAUCUGAUUUUUCUUUCUGGAGUAGUAGAAAAAAACUUUUUUUGGCUUCUUCCGUUUGUAUAUUUGUGAUGGCGAGAAGACAUAUGCAUCAUUGGUAAUAGUUGGGACAUCUUCCCUAUGUGCUUAUACAACUAGGCUACUGUCUCAACUCCAUGGGGCUAUCUUCUUGUGGUGAAGUAUUUCCAUUUGAGUGUGUUGGUUGAAUUUUCUAAUUUACUAUCAUUGACAAAAGAUCUGGUGAUUAUGUAGACACAAUUUUUUGUUUAUGGUAUUACAAGUAGUUGCAAGACGAACACUUUGCAGGCAAGUUACUCAUUUUGAGUAUCUUCUUUUUUCUUGAAUUUGAGAGAAGCAUUGUUGACUUCUCCUUUUUGUGACUUGCUUCUAGAGGAAGUAUAUCUAUCUAUAGAUAGCAAUAAUUUACAAAGCAAUGUACGUAGUUACAUUUACAACGAAAAAACUAAUGAAACUUUUAUGUGAGAUCAUUGAAAUAAGAGACAAGUACGGAAACUAUUAUUAGCUCUAUUUUGGCGCUCUUAAUUGAAAUGUGUGAUUUUAAAGCUUGCAAAAAUCUAUUGCGAUCAGUUUCCUACUAUUGUUGGCUUGCAUUUGUUAAUUAUUCUAUAUUACUUGUUAUUAUGGGACUGUACAUAACUACAUAUUGCUUUUCAAGUGCAUUCAUCUUUUAGCUGCAUUUCUUUAGGAGGAAGGCGAAGAUAGACAGAUGAUGAGGAUGGGAAAAAGGUUGCUUCGUUCUCUUACAUUUGUUUUGGUUGUAUAACUAUUUGCAUCCUUGGUAUGUUUUCUGUCGGAGUAAUAUAACCCGACUGUUCAAUUAUGAAUUUCAAAGUUAUUCUCUUCAUAGAUGAACUUCUGGUAAUAGAUACCCGUCCUCGGCAUAUGAAGAUGAGAGUUCAAAUUUAUCUCCACAUUCUUUCUUUUGCGUUGCAUUUUGUAUGGCAUAAAUAUCAUCUUCUAUCGGUGUUUUAUCUUGCGAAAAUGUCCAGUGUUGGACUUAUUCUGACACAUCGGAUUUCCAUGUUACUUUGAUGCUUACCAUGUGGUUCACAAACAAGCCUUCCUAGUGUGUCCACCCUUAUUGUCCCAAGUUAUUUUAUCGUUUAUGUUACUCAAUACCACUCUUUUGUUAAUCAAGGCUUAGAAAUAUGCAAAUGACAUUCUUCUUGCUAGUUUUUCUUCAAAUUUAGGAUACAAACAAAUCAAUGUGAUUUUUCCUAAAAGAAGGAGCUAUUAAGAAUCAUAUAGUUUUGUUGCUCCACCAACAGACCUGUUCUGCUAUUUGAAACAUUAGGUGAUUAAUUUUUCUUUAAUAAACGAAUCCAUUUGUGAUUUUGUGUGGUACUUCAUACUUCUUCAAGAGACACCUCAAUAUUGAACUUAUUUUCCACUCCAGUCGAUUUUGCUUCUUUUGAAUAUUGACAAACUUUACUUGUACGCAAUAGAUUAGGUCCUAGGUUUUGCACCGUCUAAACUUUUGUGGCCUUUUUCUGCUACAUUAUGUGGAACUUUUUCUUGAGCAUUCUUCAGUCAACUUCAGGCUCUCUAAUAAGUGCAUCCGCCAAAUAUGUAAGUUGUCUCUUCAUUGAUGUAUCAUUUUAAAUUGAAUUGAGAAUUAUAAUUUUUUUAUAAGGUGGAAGGCAUGAAGUGUAUAUAUUGGACUUCAGAGAAGCUUUUUGCAGUUCAUUCAUUGACAUCUCUCAAUUAAGCAAGGUCAUCUGCUCGGGUGGAUACCUUGUUUAUGAUGCUUGUUUUUCUAUUGACCUGUCACCUUUAUCUCAUCUCUUAGGUUUCAUAUUUCGUAGUUAAAGGUUAAAUACAUAUUAAACAUUACUCUGUUAAAAUAUCUUCCUCUAUAUUCCAUUUUUUCAGAUUUGACUGUUGUGUGGAGCUAAGUGACUUGUAAUUUGGUAAACCUUGUAUGCCUGUAUGAGGAAUGAGUAUCCUGAAGUUGAACUA